UCACGCUCCCACUGCUGCAUCAUUUCCGGGUCAGGUGUCUGUCUGUGCAGAGCAGCGACCGAGUGCUCCGUGUGGCGUUCUCCAUUUUUAUUUCCUGGUUCUCUUGAGCGGUGGUAGAUGUCUGCUGUCGUGUGGGUCUUUCUCUCCCUCCCCCUCGCUGUGCAGGUUUGACUUUGAAAACAGGGAAUGCUCAUCAGCUGGCCGAAGUCUACCGGUGGUGAUUGAUGUGAUUCCACCACCAGCUGAUUGGGGCCGCUGCUGUUUUGUCUCCACUGCUAAAUGCUGCUUGGUCUGCUUUUGUCUCCACUGCUAAAUGCUGCUUGG